GCUGGGCGUGGUGGCGUGCGCCUGUAAUCCCAGCUACUCCGGAGGCUGAAGCAAGAGAAUUGCUUGAACCCAGGAGGCAGAGGUUGCAGUGAGCCAAGAUCGUGCCACUGCACUCCAGCCUGGGUGACAGAGCAAGACUCUGUCUCAA
rnacentral:SRP_RNA from 1 species